rnacentral:ncRNA from 1 species
GGCCUUACCUUGGGGUGCGCAGGCGACUGCGCUGAGAUGCUGACAAGCGAACCCGUUGAACCUGAACCGGCUAGAACCGGCGGAGGGAAGGUUAUCGGAUCAUUC